CCUACGGGAGGCAGCAGUGGGGGAUAUUGCACAAUGGGGGAAACCCUGAUGCAGCGACGCCGCGUGUGGGAAGACGGUCCUCUGGAUUGUAAACCACUGUCCCCAGGGACGAAGAUGACGGUACCUGGUGAGGCAGCUCCGGCUAACUACGUGCCAGCAGCCGCGGUACUACGUAGGGAGCGAGCGUUGUCCGGACUUACUGGGUGUAAAGGGAGCGUAGGCGGGACUGCAAGUUGGGUGUCAAAUCUACCGGCUCAACCGGUAGCCGCACUCAAAACUGCAGUUCUUGUGUGAAGUAGAGGCAGGCGGAAUUCCUAGUGUAGCGGUGAAAUGCGUAGAUAUUAGGAGGAACACCAGUGGCGAAGGCGGCCUGCUGGGCUUUGACUGACGCUGAGGCUCGAAAGUGUGGGGAGCAAACAGGAUUAGAUACCCGAGUAGUC
rnacentral:rRNA from 1 species